GAGGGGGAGCUUGGCUGGAUGUGAGGCAGAAGAAGCAGGCCUCCAGGUCCCAGGGUCAGGACUAGGGUGCAGGUUGGCCCUGAACCCCAGCAGGUGGUAUCUGCCAGUCCAAAGUCUGUGAGCACCCCACCAAAAGGAGGUGUCUCCAGCAGGCUGUUAACCUUGGAUCACACAGACUCAGAAGGCAACAGCUGCUUGCCUUGCCUGAAAAUGCCUUGUGAUGGUGACUCCAGGACACAGCAAGUCCCUUCAAGGAGCACGAAAUCAAGGUCUGCUGGACUUAUACAAUGUCUUUCUUGCAACUUCUCUCACCAUUCACCCUAACCUCCCCUCCUGCCACAGCAAGUGCAGCAUGUCAUGACUGACAGCAAGUUUGGAAAACAGAAGAGUUUCACAGGGCACUUACGGUCUCCACCAAGUGUACCCUACAACAGGCCACUAAGAUCACGCCUCAGAAACGUGGAAAAGCUUUGAGUCAGCCUUGUUCGAUUUGACGUUUAGGCCAUUACCAAUAUAAUGCUUGAUUUGGUCAAGAGAAAGCAUUAAAUUACUCUCCACAUAAGCCUUACAAGGUGGCCCUGAAUCUUCUUAUCCAGCAAUUUUCGAGUGUGCAAGACUGAGGUGAAAGUAAGUUUCUGCCGUGUGAACAGCCUGCCUUCAGUGAGCCGUUUGUUCUUUAGGGAAAGCUUUGUCUCUCCAUUGCCUGAUGCUGCUGGUGGGAAACACGCUUUCAGCAAACCCACAGUCCUUUCAGUGCCUUGGCUAAAGGAAGGAGAAGGAGAGAAAGGAGACCGAGCGAAGGCCGCUGGGACGGGCUUGGUGCCAUAGAGCAGGAAGAGCCACGUUCUUGAUUUCUGUGCUCUGAGGCUGGAGGAGCCUCCUCAGUCUGGACCCCAGGAAUCUGACUGACCAGGAACACCCUGUCAGCAUACUCCACAGCAGUGCUGUCCCCCAGAGACAGCGCUGCCUUACCAACUGGAAUCACAGGCACACACAGGAAAUGCUUCUUAUUUCACAAAAUAACACUCAACUUUGAAUGUUG
rnacentral:lncRNA from 1 species